UACGUAGGGUGCAAGCGUUAUCCGGAAUUAUUGGGCGUAAAGAGCUCGUAGGCGGUUUGUCGCGUCUGCUGUGAAAACUGGAGGCUCAACCUCCAGCCUGCAGUGGGUACGGGCAGACUAGAGUGAUGUAGGGGAGACUGGAAUUCCUGGUGUAGCAGUGAAAUGCGCAGAUAUCAGGAGGAACACCGAUGGCGAAGGCAGGUCUCUGGGCAUUAACUGACGCUGAGGAGCGAAAGCAUGGGGAGCGAACAGG
rnacentral:rRNA from 1 species